rnacentral:sRNA from 1 species
UAAUGUCAGGGAUUCCAGGGCCUGACCUCGGUGGGUGAUGAUGCUUUUCUGGACUGUCACAGGACCCCUGGACCCCUGCAGCUCUCAUCCCUGAGGCACUUAGAGAAAAGCUCAGAGAGGAUCAAGAGAAGAGGCCUUGGGACCAUGAGCCUGCGAAGCCAAAGCCCUUGACCUACUGGAAGGAUGUACUUCUCCUGGAGGGUGUGACCUUGACGCAGGAUUCCAGGCAGCUGAAUGGGUCGGAGCGGGCGGUGUUGGAUGGGCUGCUCACCCCAGCCGAGUGUGGGGUGCUACUGCAGCUGGCUAAGGAUGCAGCUGGGGCUGGAGGCAGGUCUGGCUAUCAUGGUCGCCGCUCCCCUCACACCCCCCAUGAACGCUUCGAGGGGCUCACAGUGCUUAAGGCUGCGCAGCUGGCCCGGGCUGGGACAGUGGGCAGUCAGGGUGCUAAGCUGCUUCUGGAGGUGAGCGAGCGGGUGCGGACCUUGACCCAGGCCUACUUCUCCCCGGAACGGCCCCUGCAUCUGUCCUUCACCCACCUGGUGUGCCGCAGCGCCAUAGAAGGAGAGCAAGAGCAGCGCAUGGACCUAAGUCACCCAGU